rnacentral:misc_RNA from 1 species
GAUGAAGAACGCAGCGAAAUGCGAUAAGUAGUGUGAAUUGCAGAAUUCAGUGAAUUAUCGAAUCUUUGAACGCACAUUGCGCCCCUUGGUAUCCCGAGGGGCAUGCCUGUUCGAGCGUCAUUUCACCACUCAAGCCUGGCUUGGUGUUGGGCGACGUCCUCUUUGGGGACGCGCCUCGAAACGCUCGGCGGCGUGGCACCGGCUUUAAGCGUAGCAGAAUCUUUCGCUUUGGAAGUCGGGGCCCCGUCUGCCGGAAGACCUGCUCGCAAGGUUGACCUCGGAUCAGGCAGGGAUACCCGCUGAACUUAAGCAUAUCAAUAAGCGGAGGA